UACAGAGGUGGCAAGCGUUGUUCGGAAUUACUGGGCGUAAAGGGCGAGUAGGCGGCCUUCUAAGUCAGACGUGAAAUCCCCCGGCUUAACCUGGGAACUGCGUCUGAUACUGGGAGGCUCGAGUAUGGGAGAGGGAUGUAGAAUUCCAGGUGUAGCGGUGAAAUGCGUAGAUAUCCGGAGGAAUACCGGUGGCGAAGGCGGCAUCCUGGACCAUUACUGACGCUGAAUCGCGAAAGCUAGGGGAGCAAACGGG
rnacentral:rRNA from 1 species